rnacentral:rRNA from 1 species
GACGAACGCUGGCGGCGUGCUUAACACAUGCAAGUCGAACGGAAAGGCCCUGCUUUUGUGGGGUGCUCGAGUGGCGAACGGGUGAGUAACACGUGAGUAACCUGCCCUUGACUUUGGGAUAACUUCAGGAAACUGGGGCUAAUACCGGAUAGGAGCUCCUGCUGCAUGGUGGGGGUUGGAAAGUUUCGGCGGUUGGGGAUGGACUCGCGGCUUAUCAGCUUGUUGGUGGGGUAGUGGAUUACCAAGGCUUUGACGGGUAGCCGGCCUGAGAGGGUGACCGGCCACAUUGGGACUGAGAUACGGCCCAGACGCCUACGGGAGGCAGCAGUGGGGAAUAUUGCACAAUGGGCGGAAGCCGGAUGCAGCAACGCCGCGUGCGGGAUGACGGCCUUCGGGUUGUAAACCGCGUUCGCCUGUGACGAAGCGUGAGUGACGGUAAUGGGUAGAGAAGCACCGGCUAACUACGUG